rnacentral:rRNA from 1 species
UACGAAAGGUGCAAGCGUUGUUCGGAAUGACUGGGCGUAAAGCGCACGUAGGUGGGCUUGUAAGUCGGAUGUGAAAUCCCCGGGCUCAACCUGGGAACUGCAUUUGUGACUGCAUCGCUGGAGUGCGGCAGAGGGGGAUGGAAUUCCGCGUGUAGCAGUGAAAUGCGUAGAUAUGCGGAGGAACACCGAUGGCGAAGGCAAUCCCCUGGGCCUGCACUGACGCUCAUGCACGAAAGCGUGGGGAGCAAACAGG